rnacentral:rRNA from 1 species
AGCGUUUGACAUGGUAGGUCGGUUUCCAGAGAUGGAUUCCUCCCCUUACGGGGCCUACACACAGGUGCUGCAUGGCUGUCGUCAGCUCGUGUCGUGAGAUGUUGGGUUAAGUCCCGCAACGAGCGCAACCCUCGUCUCUAGUUGCUACCAUUUAGUUGGGCACUCUAGAGAAACUGCCGGUGAUAAGCCGGAGGAAGGUGGGGAUGACGUCAAGUCCUCAUGGCCCUUACGCGCUGGGCUACACACGUGCUACAAUGGCGGUGACAGUGAGCAGCGACCCCGCGAGGGUGAGCUAAUCUCCAAAAGCCGUCUCAGUUCGGAUUGUUCUCUGCAACUCGAGAGCAUGAAGGCGGAAUCGCUAGUAAUCGCGGAUCAGCAUGCCGCGGUGAAUACGUUCCCAGGCCUUGUACACACCGCCCGUCACACCAUGGGAGUUGGUUUCACCCGAAGGCGCUACGCUAACCGCAAAGGAGGCAAGGCGACCACGGUGGGAUCAGCGACUGGGGUG